GGAGGGAGUAGGAGGGAAGGAAGGUGGCCAGGGCGUGCCCGCCCACCACCACCGCGGGUCCUCCGCUGACCGCGUCAGGAUCAUCGGCCCCCGUCCUCUGCGCAACCUCUCCGUCGUCCUCCGGCCGCGGGUGGUCGGGCGGCCCUAGGUGGAAACCAGGGGAAAGGAUCCCCCUCGUCGUGGUCCUCCGCCACCUCGCGGAUCAGCCCCUUCGCAGCUUCGGCCGUGGUGGCAGGCCCCUCGGCAGAAACUGCUAGAUGGGGCCCUCUCGAUGGGCGCUGCUCACCGAGGCAGGUGCAGAACAACCGUGCGGCCACAUCUUCGACGAGUCGUGCUGUUUGAGGUGCGUGGUCUUCUCCCCAUCGACCCGCUGUGUUUAAUCUAGCUGCUACUGCCAAGUGUUUGGAAUUGACUUCAAAUGUAGUAUCUGGAUAAUUGGUGCUCAGUAUGUGUUUGUGAUAUUGCCUAUGCCGGUGAGCUUAUUCAGCCAAACAUGAAUAAUCGCCAUCCACGGCAGGGCACUCUCCUCCUCGCGUCCUCCUCCGUUGAAGCAGACUGGCUCAUCUCCUGCCUGCCUGCCCUCCGACGCACCCGCGGGUGAUAGUUGAUAUGUCCUUGCUCUGUUUAUCCAGCUAAUGGCUCUUUUGCUCUUGAGGCACACACUAACCAUCACUAGUAGCGAUGAUGAAGAUGAUGCUUCUGCUAUUUUCUCGUUAUUCCUUUUGUGGGCGGCUGGAUUUCUUCUACCAUGCUACAUCAUGGCUUGGGAUAUUAGUAUCAUGCAGCGUCAAAGACAAAGACAGGAAGAAGCAAUGCUAUUACCAACAGAAGUGACAAUCAUUCUCCAUCCGAAUGGGACGAUGCAGUUCACUGUGUCACCUGAAAUUCCUGCCUCACCUCAUCUGGAACCAGCCCAGUAGAAAUUUAUCAGCAGCAGGCUCAUUUUGUACAAGAUAUGAUGGGCCUUAGCAUCUGCGGUUCAGCCUUGUUGCAUCAGCUAGGGUUUCUGUGAUGGGAUUUCAUAAUCCCCUGUAUAUAAAAAUAUAGUAUUCUCUUUCAGUGACUGAAUGCAUGCUGAAUUAAAGAGGUAUAUUGUGUUAGCCCAAAUGGUUUAAGAUUAGGUUCGCCGUGUCCCUAAUACUCCUGAUCAAAUUUAUGAAAAAUAAUGCUGAUAUGUACUGCUUAUUA